CCUACGGGGUGCUGCAGUGGGGAAUAUUGGACAAUGGGCGAAAGCCUGAUCCAGCCAUGCCGCGUGUGUGAAGAAGGCCUUCGGGUUGUAAAGCACUUUCAGUGGGGAAGAAAGCCUUGGGGCUAAUACCCUCGAGGAAGGACAUCACCCACAGAAGAAGCACCGGCUAACUCCGUGCCAGCAGCCGCGGUAAUACGGAGGGUGCGAGCGUUAAUCGGAAUUACUGGGCGUAAAGCGCGCGUAGGCGGUCUGAUAAGCCGGUUGUGAAAGCCCCGGGCUCAACCUGGGAACGGCAUCCGGAACUGUCAGGCUAGAGUGAAGGAGAGGAAGGUAGAAUUCCCGGUGUAGCGGUGAAAUGCGUAGAGAUCGGGAGGAAUACCAGUGGCGAAGGCGGCCUUCUGGACUGACACUGACGCUGAGGUGCGAAAGCGUGGGUAGCAAACAGGAUUAGAUACCCUAGUAGUC
rnacentral:rRNA from 1 species